GACGAACGCUGGCGGCGUGCUUAACACAUGCAAGUCGAACGGAGUGGCGAACGGGUGCGUCCCACGUGGGUGAUCUGCCUUGCACUUCGGGAUAAGCUUGGGCAACUGGGUCUAAUACCGGAUAGUGCAAGAUGAGCUCGCGGCCUUUCAGCUUGUUGGUGGGGUAAUGGCCUACCAAGGCGUCGACGGGUAGCCGGCCUGAGAGGGCGUACGGCAAAAUUGGGACUGAGAUACGGCCCAGUCACCUACGGGAGGCAGUAGAGGAGAAUAUUGCACAAGGGGCGGAAGCCUGAGGCAGCGACGCCGGGUGGGGGAUGAAGGCCUUCGAGUUGUAAACUCCUUUCGACAGGGACGCGGUACCUGUAUAAGAAGCACCGGCUAACUACGUGCCAGCGGCCGCGGUAAUAC
rnacentral:rRNA from 1 species